GAAGGUAUAGCUCAGUGGUAGAGCACAUGCUUAGCAUGCACCAAGUACUGGGUUCAAUCUCCAGUAACUCCA
rnacentral:tRNA from 1 species